rnacentral:tRNA from 1 species
AUUUAAAUAGUUUAUAAAAAUAUUGAUUUGUGAUAUCAAAGAUUUAUUUAAAAUAAUUUAAAUU